UACGUAGGGCGCAAGCGUUGUCCGGAAUUAUUGGGCGUAAAGAGCUCGUAGGCGGUCUGUCGCGUCGGAUGUGAAAGCCCGGGGCUUAACCCCGGGUCUGCAUUCGAUACGGGCAGACUAGAGUGUGGUAGGGGAGAUCGGAAUUCCUGGUGUAGCGGUGAAAUGCGCAGAUAUCAGGAGGAACACCGGUGGCGAAGGCGGCAUCCUGGACCGACACUGACGCUGAGGAGCGAAAGCCAGGGGAGCAAACGGG
rnacentral:rRNA from 1 species